rnacentral:rRNA from 1 species
CAGCCGCCACGGGAAUACGAAGGGGGCUAGCGUUGCUCGGAAUUACUGGGCGUAAAGGGCGCGUAGGCGGACAGUUAAGUUGGGGGUGAAAGCCCGGGGCUCAACCUCGGAAUUGCCUUCAAUACUGGCUGUCUUGAGUAUGAGAGAGGUGUGUGGAACUCCGAGUGUAGAGGUGAAAUUCGUAGAUAUUCGGAAGAACACCAGUGGCGAAGGCGACACACUGGCUCAUUACUGACGCUGAGGCGCGAAAGCGUGGGGAGCAAACAGGAUUAGAUACCCGAGUAGUCCCUGUCUCUUAUAC